rnacentral:rRNA from 1 species
GAUGAACGCUGGCGGCGUGCCUAAUACAUGCAAGUCGAGCGAAUGGAUUAAGAGUUUGCUCUUAUGAAGUUAGCGGCGGACGGGUGAGUAACACGUGGGUAACCUGCCCAUAAGACUGGGAUAACUCCGGGAAACCGGGGCUAAUACCGGAUAACAUUUUGAACCGCAUGGUUCGAAAUUGAAAGGCGGCUUCGGCUGUCACUUAUGGAUGGACCCGCGUCGCAUUAGCUAGUUGGUGAGGUAACGGCUCACCAAGGCAACGAUGCGUAGCCGACCUGAGAGGGUGAUCGGCCACACUGGGACUGAGACACGGCCCAGACUCCUACGGGAGGCAGCAGUAGGGAAUCUUCCGCAAUGGACGAAAGUCUGACGGAGCGACGCCGCGUGAGUGAUGAAGGCUUUCGGGUCGUAAAACUCUGUUGUUAGGGAAGAACAAGUGCUAGUUGAAUAAGCUGGCACCUUGACGGUACCUAACCAGAAAGCCACGGCUAACUACGUGCCAGCAGCCGCAGUAA